GCAGUAGCCGCGGUAAUACGAAGGGUGCAAGCGUUAAUCGGAAUUACUGGGCGUAAAGCGUGCGUAGGUGGUGGUUUAAGUCCGUUGUGAAAGCCCUGGGCUCAACCUGGGAAUUGCAGUGGAUACUGGAUCACUAGAGUGUGGUAGAGGACAGUGGAAUUUCCGGUGUAGCAGUGAAAUGCGUAGAGAUCGGAAGGAACAUCCGUGGCGAAGGCGACUAUCUGGGCCAACACUGACACUGAGGCACGAAAGCGUGGGGAGCAAGCAGGAUUAGAUACCCCAGUAGUCCCUGUCUCUUAUAC
rnacentral:rRNA from 1 species